rnacentral:rRNA from 1 species
UACGGAGGAUGCAAGCGAUAUCCGGAAUGAUUGGGCGUAAAGCGUCCGCAGGUGGCACUGUAAGUCUGCUGUUAAAGAGCAAGGCUCAACCUUGUAAAGGCAGUGGAAACUACAGAGCUAGAGUACGUUCGGGGCAGAGGGAAUUCCUGGUGUAGCGGUGAAAUGCGUAGAUAUCAGGAAGAACACCGGUGGCGAAAGCGCUCUGCUAGGCCGUAACUGACAAUGAGGGACGAAAGCUAGGGGAGCGAAUGGG